rnacentral:rRNA from 1 species
AGCAGCCGCGGUAAUUCCAGCUCCAAUAGCGUAUAUUAAAGUUGUUGCAGUUAAAAAGCUCGUAGUUGAAUUUCGGGAUCAAAUUGUCGGUCGUGCCUCGGUACGCACUGGUAUUAUUGGUUCCUACCUUCUGAAGAACCGCGAUGUCAUUAAUUUGGUGUCGUGGGGAAUCAGGACUGUUACUUUGAAAAAAUUAGAGUGUUUAAAGCAGGCUUACGCUUGAAUACAUUAGCAUGGAAUAAUGAAAUAGGACGUUUGAUUCUAUUUUGUUGGUUUCUAGGAUUGACGUAAUGAUUAAUAGGGAUAGUUGGGGGCAUUAGUAUUCAAUUGUCAGAGGUCGAAAUUCUUGGAUUUAUUGAAGACUAACUACUGCGAAAGCAUUUGCCAAGGAUGUUUUCAUUAAUCAAGAACGAAAUUAGGGGAUCGAAGACGAUCAGAUACCGUCGUAGUCUUAACCAUAAACUAUAGCCGACUAGGGAUCGGAUGAUGUAAUUUUUAAUGACUCAUUCGGCGCCUUACG